GACGAACGCUGGCGGCGUGCUUAACACAUGCAAGUCGAACGGUGAAGCUCCAGCUUGCUGGAGUGGAUCAGUGGCGAACGGGUGAGUAACACGUGGGCAACCUGCCCCAGACUCUGGAAUAAGCGCUGGAAACGGCGUCUAAUACUGGAUACGAGAUCAAGCCGCAUGGUUAUGGUCUGGAAAGUUUUUCGGUUUGGGAUGGGCUCGCGGCCUAUCAGCUUGUUGGUGAGGUAAUGGCUCACCAAGGCGACGACGGGUAGCCGGCCUGAGAGGGCGACCGGCCACACUGGGACUGAGACACGGCCCAGACUCCUACGGGAGGCAGCAGUGGGGAAUAUUGCACAAUGGGCGAAAGCCUGAUGCAGCGACGCCGCGUGAGGGAUGACGGCCUUCGGGUUGUAAACCUCUUUCAGCAGGGAAGAAGCGAAAGUGACGGUACCUGCAGAAGAAGCACCGGCUAACUACGUG
rnacentral:rRNA from 1 species